GAACUCGAAGAGUAGGGCGGGACACGUGGUAUCCUGUCUGAAUAUGGGGGGACCAUCCUCCAAGGCUAAAUACUCCUGACUGACCGAUAGUGAACCAGUACCGUGAGGGAAAGGCGAAAAGAACCCCGGCGAGGGGAGUGAAAAAGAACCUGAAACCGUGUACGUACAAGCAGUGGGAGCACCUUCGGGUGUGACUGCGUACCUUUUGUAUAAUGGGUCAGCGACUUAUAUUCUGUAGCAAGGUUAACCGUAUAGGGGAGCCGAAGGGAAACCGAGUCUUAACUGGGCGUUAAGUUGCAGGGUAUAGACCCGAAACCCGGUGAUCUAGCCAUGGGCAGGUUGAAGGUUGGGUAACACUAACUGGAGGACCGAACCGACUAAUGUUGAAAAAUUAGCGGAUGACCUGUGGCUGGGGGUGAAAGGCCAAUCAAACCGGGAGAUAGCUGGUUCUCCCCGAAAGCUAUUUAGGUAGCGCCUCGUGAACUCAUCUUCGGGGGUAGAGCACUGUUUCGGCUAGGGGGCCAUCCCGGCUUACCAACCCGAUGCAAACUACGAAUACCGAAGAAUGUUAUCACGGGAGACACACGGCGGGUGCUAACGUCCGUCGUGAAGAGGGAAACAACCCAGACCGCCAGCUAAGGUCCCAAAGUCAUGGUUAAGUGGGAAACGAUGUGGGAAGGCACAGACAGCCAGGAUGUUGGCUUAGAAGCAGCCAUCAUUUAAAGAAAGCGUAAUAGCUCACUGGUCGAGUCGGCCUGCGCGGAAGAUGUAACGGGGCUAAACCAUG
rnacentral:rRNA from 2 species